rnacentral:rRNA from 1 species
GACGAACGCUGGCGGCGUGCCUAAUACAUGCCAGUCGAGCGGACUUUCAAGAAGCUUGCUUUUUGAAAGUUAGCGGCGGACGGGUGAGUAACACGUGGGCAACCUGCCUGCAAGACGGGGAUAACUCCGGGAAACCGGGGCUAAUACCGGAUAAUAUCUUCCUUCGCAUGAAGGAAGGUUGAAAGGCGGCGCAAGCUGCCGCUUGCAGAUGGGCCCGCGGCGCAUUAGCUAGUUGGUGAGGUAACGGCUCACCAAGGCGACGAUGCGUAGCCGACCUGAGAGGGUGAUCGGCCACACUGGGACUGAGACACGGCCCAGACUCCUACGGGAGGCAGCAGUAGGGAAUCUUCCGCAAUGGACGAAAGUCUGACGGAGCAACGCCGCGUGAGCGAAGAAGGUCUUCGGAUCGUAAAGCUCUGUUGUCAGGGAAGAACAAGUACCGUUCGAACAGGACGGUACCUUGACGGUACCUGACCAGAAAGCCACGGCUAACUACGUG